CCACCCUCUACCGUUGAAAACGGUACUGAUGAGUCCUUUGCUAUAGAAAGCCCUUCGAUAAGCUCAGGGUAAACAGGACGAAAGGGAAC
rnacentral:hammerhead_ribozyme from 25 species